rnacentral:rRNA from 1 species
UAGGGAAUCUUCCGCAAUGGACGCAAGUCUGACGGAGCAACGCCGCGUGAGUGAAGAAGGAUUUCGGUUCGUAAAACUCUGUUGUUAGAGAAGAACAGCGCAUAGAGUAACUGUUAUGCGUGUGACGGUAUCUAACCAGAAAGCCACGGCUAACUACGUGCCAGCAGCCGCGGUAAUACGUAGGUGGCAAGCGUUGUCCGGAUUUAUUGGGCGUAAAGCGAGCGCAGGCGGUCAAUUAAGUCUGGUGUGAAAGCCCCCGGCUCAACCGGGGAGGGUCAUUGGAAACUGGUUGACUGGAGUGCAGAAGAGGAGAGUGGAAUUCCAUGUGUAGCGUUGAAAUGCGAAGAUAUAUGGAGGAAAACCAGUGGCGAAGGCGACUCUCUGGUCUGUAACUGACGCUGAGGCUCGAAAGCGUGGGUAGCAAACAGG